rnacentral:rRNA from 1 species
GCUCAGAUUGAACGCUGGCGGCAGGCCUAACACAUGCAAGUCGAACGGUAACAUUUCUAGCUUGCUAGAAGAUGACGAGUGGCGGACGGGUGAGUAAUGCUUGGGAACUUGCCUUUGCGAGGGGGAUAACAGUUGGAAACGACUGCUAAUACCGCAUAAUGUCUUCGGACCAAACGGGGCUUCGGCUCCGGCGCAAAGAGAGGCCCAAGUGAGAUUAGCUAGUUGGUAAGGUAACGGCUUACCAAGGCGACGAUCUCUAGCUGUUCUGAGAGGAAGAUCAGCCACACUGGGACUGAGACACGGCCCAGACUCCUACGGGAGGCAGCAGUGGGGAAUAUUGCACAAUGGGGGAAACCCUGAUGCAGCCAUGCCGCGUGUGUGAAGAAGGCCUUCGGGUUGUAAAGCACUUUCAGUUGUGAGGAAAAGUUAGUAGUUAAUACCUGCUAGCCGUGACGUUAACAACAGAAGAAGCACCGGCUAACUCCGUGCCAGCAGCCGCGGUAAUACGGAGGGUGCGAGCGUUAAUCGGAAUUACUGGGCGUAAAGCGCACGCAGGCGGUUUGUUAAGCUAGAUGUGAAAGCCCCGGGCUCAACCUGGGAUGGUCAUUUAGAACUGGCAGACUAGAGUCUUGGAGAGGGGAGUGGAAUUCCAGGUGUAGCGGUGAAAUGCGUAGAUAUCUGGAGGAACAUCAGUGGCGAAGGCGACUCCCUGGCCAAAGACUGACGCUCAUGUGCGAAAGUGUGGGUAGCGAACAGGAUUAGAUACCCUGGUAGUCCACACCGUAAACGCUGUCUACUAGCUGUGUGUGCCUUUAAGAGCGUGCGUAGCGAAGCUAACGCGCUAAGUAGACC